rnacentral:rRNA from 1 species
GGGCCCGCACAAGCGGUGGAGCAUGUGGUUUAAUUCGAUGAUACGCGAGGAACCUUACCAGGACUUAAAUGUAAGUUGCAUGAUUCAGAAAUGAAUCUUUCUUCGGACUACUUACAAGGUGCUGCAUGGUUGUCGUCAGCUCGUGCCGUGAGGUGUCAGGUUAAGUCCUAUAACGAGCGCAACCCCUAUCGUUAGUUGCCAUCAAGUAAAGUUGGGAACUCUAGCGAAACUGCCGGUGCAAACCGAGAGGAAGGUGGGGAUGACGUCAAAUCAUCACGGCCCUUACGUUCUGGGCUACACACGUGCUACAAUGGUCGGUACAGAAAGCAGCCACUAUGCGAAUAGGAGCUAAUCUCUAAAACCUAUCUCAGUUCGGAUUGGAGUCUGCAACUCGACUCUAUGAAGCUGGAAUCGCUAGUAA